UCAGUCCCAACAGUGGGCAGGGGCUAAGCGCGCACUCACUAGCAUGGUGCAAGACCGGACUCUGGACGCCAGGAUCAUCGGGCGCGACUACGACGAGCUAAUCGUCGAGUUAUUCGACGCAGAAGGCUACAGCGUGGCCGAGCAGUUAGCGGCGCAAGCAUUUGUCGAUCUGAAGGAGUUCGCCGUGGUGCCCGACUCGCACAUCACUACGAGGAUCGUGCCUGCUUGAGGAUCUCAUGACACUGAUGACUAAGGACCUGCUCUAAAACUUCUUCGCAUACAUUUAUACUGAUAUUAUUACAUUCCGAUCGAUUUUAAGGUAUUCGUAAAUUUCCUUAAACAUAACUCGGGAAAUAAAUAAAUAAAAAUCAAUUGUUAUGUUUUUACUCGAAUUGUAAAAUUCUCUGUAAAAUCACUGAUAUAUUUUUAUAAAAUUGCUAGAAGCAACACUUUUUGGACAAUUCAAACUUGUCUUUAUUCAUUGAAAGAUUAUUUGCUUUUGAAGAUUUAAAAUUGUUGUUAUCGAUGUCGUAGGCUUACCAAUAAGUAUUUAGUAUUGCUUUAUGUGUACGUACAAGGGUUAAGAUAAUUGUGACGUAAUUAACCAUUUAAAUACUCAAGGCGCCUUUUAUUUGCUUGGCAACAGAAGUUUCUGUUUGUUUUAGUAGUUUGAUAGACAUUAUUAUGCUUCCAUUUAUGAGUUACGCGUAAAUUGUAAUUAGGUUUAGGAUAUUAAAUGGCUAUAUUAAAAUACUGGAAGUCUCAUCAUCUCAUCUCUGAGCGAAACAAUAGCCAAAACAGUAUUUAGCCUCUUUUUAUCAUAUCAAUAUCAACUGGAAAUAGUGACAAAGUAUUCAUUAACUAAAACUGUGUUAGAGCAGUUUUAAAUCUCAUUCAUAAUAAUAGUAGUAUAGAUGACCCAAGCUGAACUGUCCCACCAAACUCAAUGACAGGGGGGCGCUACCAUCGUUCAACUAUAUGGUUUCCAACAUGGCAAAAAUCGGAACCAGCGAUCCGGUAUUGACGGUGGCGCCCCACUGUCAAUGUCAUCGAUAGGACAGUUCAGUAUUUUGGAACUAUAAGCUCAACUGAUGUCUAUAAUUUUUUUUGGCAUUGACUGCUUACUGCUAUUUGCUUUAUAGUUUAAAAUAUCCAAUAUGUAAACAGUUUAAGUAUUUUGCGCGUGCAAUAACUAAAUGUCGAUGUAUAACUUUACUGCAUAUCUGAAUUGUACAAUUGUUUGUUAUCCUAAAUAAAAUAAAAUAAAAUAAAUAACAUAGCGUCACGUGACUAAACUCCUGUGCCGCUUUUUUUUGUUAAUGGCUCUUAACGGGCAAUGAGAGUGACAAUGGCCUAUUUUAUCCGAGUGUGUCCAUUACAUUUUGACUAGAAAGUUGCUGAAAUCGCUGGUUGACUUGUGUGAGGUCUAGAGUUUGACAAGAUCUGGAAGUGAUGUUGUGAAACGGUGUACCUUGAAUUGUCCCUUGGACAUUGGAGGAAAUAGGGUAGAAUGAUGUGAUUGAUAGAUUUUUUACUUCUUAGCAGAUAAUGUAAUAAAAUUGGGUCAGAACAAAGGGAAUAUUCCAAAACGAAUUCACGUAUUACCAAAUACUAAUGUUUCUGAAUUA